AGUUUUAGGGUAAUUCAUCUAAAAUUAGACCUGCCCAAUGUUUAUUAAUCAAUGGCCGCGGUACUUUGACCGUGCUAAGGUAGCGCAAUCAAUUGGCUUUUAAUUGGAGCCAGGUAUGAAUGGAGUCACGGGGUUUAGCUGUCUCGAAUUUAAUAUAUUGAAAUUACUUUUUAGGUGAAAAAGCCUGAUAUAUACAAGGGGACGAGAAGACCCUUAGAGUUUGUCUUAUGUUGAAUAUUUUUCACAAUAGUUUGGUUGGGGCAACCUAGGUUCAGUUUGUAGAAACAUCCUGAGACAUAUAAGCCGAUUAUGAUAAGGUUGAAUAAACUACCUUAGGGAUAACAGCAUAAUUUUAUAAAUAAGUUUGUGACCUCGAUGUUGGACUAGGAAACUAAUAGGCUAGCCGCUUUUUAGGGAGGUUCUGUUCGAACCAUUAUUCCU
rnacentral:rRNA from 1 species